AUAAGAAUUGAUGUUUAGAAUUUGGAAGGAAGGAAGGUUAUUUUUGUUUGUUUUUCAGGGCUUGAUAUAAGUCCCAACUACAGAGAAAAGUAAGAAGGAAAAAUGUUACUUUCGUAUAGUAGUGAACAAUAUUGUAUCAUAAAUCAAAUUGGACAGGAUUAGUCAUUUGUCAGCUUGUGUCCUGAUACCCUAUCGUGUAAAUGUGUGUGUGUUUGGGGGGGGGGCAUAUAUGUUCAGUGAGGCAGCCCCUAAUAUAAAAUUUAUUAGCUUUUACAGUGAUUUCUCCAUUAUUAAAGAAAAUUAUUGAGGAACCAAUGUAUUUCUUCACUUCUUAAGAAUGAAGCGAGGAAUGUUUGCUGGCUUCCAGGUUAGUACCACCCAGAAAUUUUUUUAAAAUAUGUUUUCUUAAAAGACAUAUACAUAUACACACACAUAAUAUAUUUUGGUAGGGGAGAUAGAGAAUCUUCGUUUUUGUGAACUGGAAGGUUUGAAAAGUAUAUUUAAAUAAUGUAUUCUUAUUUUUUUUUGUCUUUUUAGGGCCGCACCCAUGGCAUAUGGAGGUUCUCAGGCUAGGGGUCUAGUCAGAGCUAUUGCCACAGGCCUAUGCCUACACCAUAGCCACAGCAAUGCCAUAUCUGAGUCGCAUUUGUGACCUACACCACAGCUUAUGGCAAUGCCAAAUCCUUAACCUACUGAGCGAGGCCAGGGAUUGAACCCGCAACCUCAUGUUCCUAGUAGGAUUCGUUUCUGCUGCGCCACAAUGGGAACUCCUAAAUAAUGUAUUUUUAAUAUUGCUUGUGAAUAUACUGCUUAUUUUCAUCCAUAUUGGCUUUUUGCCUUUUGGGGGGUACUCAUUAUUUCAUAGUUAAUGAUUUUUAUGGAAAGGAGAUAAAAGUUGAUCAUGUUUUUGUUUUCUCUGGAAAAUUGGAAUGUACUAUUUUUGUCAUUUUAGAAUCUUUUUUUUUUUUUUUUAAUCCAGGGAGCCUCCUACAGAGAGUUGUCUCCAAGGAUAUUGAUACUUGUUAGUAGAUUGUGACUCUUGGUUCCAUCAACAACAACGCUACACUAUAGAGUAUGUCUUGUAUGGUUAAAAUAACUAUAUUAAGACAUUUGUUUGAAUAAGACUGGAAUAAAAAAAGAAAAUGACCUUCAUUUGGCAGACAUUGAGCCACCCAGUUGUGACAGGCAUUGAUGCCAUCCUGUCUACAGAAGCUGACAGUUUAGCCAAAAAUGAAGCAAUUAUCUUUGGUAUAGUGACCGUUACAAAAAGGGUUCCUUUUGCUGAUGGUAUCCAUUUCUGGCCAUCUGCAGAUGGCCUGUCACUUUGAGCUUCGAAUUUGGAGAGCGAAGUAGAUACAAGAAUGCAGGGAAUGUUACUCUGAAAUAAAAAAGGAAAAUUUAAGCUGCCUAUUGAGAACCAUGGUACCAUACUCUUUUCUCUUAAAAAAAAAAAACAAAAAAAACAAAACUAAUGUAUGUCAUAACACAGAGUUGCUCAAUUUGAGGGAUGUAUCCUACCCUCUUGAAGAAAAAAUAAAAUUCCUGUGGACUUCGAGUAUUGAUUGAAAUUAUUAUUUUAAUAUUACUUAAGUUCUCUUUUACUUACAUUACUUAUUAUGUUACUUAACAUAAUACAAACAUAAAACUGUAAUAUUUUAUGCUCAUAAUUCUUAUACUAAGUAAAACCAAAACAAAUGUACAAAUUAAAUAGAACUACAAAACCAUUACGAUUCAAAUGAACAUUGCAAUUCAAACCAACAUGGCUUUAAUGGGAUAGGUGACACUGCUUUGGUGAGCAACAUAGCUUUAAUGGGAUAGGUGACACUGCUUUGGUGAAAUAGUAUUGAUUUGGAGAAUUAUAGCAGAAAGAUGUUACCAAAAGUCUAGUUCUGUGGUUCUUCUGUUUCUGUAUUUGGAUUUUGGGAAUACUUACUCAGCAAAUGCCUGUUUACAUAAGUUACUCAAAGACUCUCAAUGCCUUUAUGUCUGUGACUAGAACUUAGGCAAAUCAAACCUACUCUUUGCCAAUGAGUAAGCUUGAAAUAGCACAUUGAAGCUGUAUCACUUGUCAGCUCUGUAAAACUUUAUUACUUAGAGAUAAUGUUCAGUUAAUUAAUAUCUUCAUUAAGUGGUAUCUGAUGGAACUAUUGCUAGGAUCAGGAAUAUAAGAACUCUUAUUAGAAAAUGAAGACUAUACUUACUUCUAGUAAAUUGAUAUGAGUUAAAACAGUCAAAGACGAUAUUGGGCUUUCCCACUACUUGGUUUAUAUAUAGUCUUCCAGUCAGCUUGCUUGACUUAAACCAACAAACUCAAUUUUACAUACAAACUAUUGCAUAAAAAACCUAAAGCAGUAUGUAGGUGCAGGGGUUCAUCCAAAAGGUGAAGACUAUCUUUAGAUUUCUUUUUAAAGGAUGGUCAUAAAAAUUAAAACAGGAGUUCCCGUCGUGGUGCAGUGGUUAACGAAUCUGACUAAGAACCAUGAGGUUGCAGGUUCGAUCCCUGCCCUUGCUCAGUGGGUUAAGGAUCUGG
rnacentral:lncRNA from 1 species